GAUGAGCGCUGGCGGCGUGCCUAAUACAUGCAAGUCGAGUGAACGGACGAGAAGCUUGCUUCUCUGAUGUUAGCGGCGGACGGGUGAGUAACACGUGGAUAACCUACCUAUAAGACUGGGAUAACUUCGGGAAACCGGAGCUAAUACCGGAUGAUAUUUUGAACCGCAUGGUUCAAAAGUGAAAGACGGUCUUGCUGUCACUUAUAGAUGGAUCCGCGCUGCAUUAGCUAGUUGGUAAGGUAACGGCUUACCAAGGCAACGAUGCAUAGCCGACCUGAGAGGGUGAUCGGCCACACUGGAACUGAGACACGGUCCAGACUCCUACGGGAGGCAGCAGUAGGGAAUCUUCCGCAAUGGGCGAAAGCCUGACGGAGCAACGCCGCGUGAGUGAUGAAGGUCUUCGGAUCGUAAAACUCUGUUAUUAGGGAAGAACAUAUGUGUAAGUAACUGUGCACAUCUUGACGGUACCUAAUCAGAAAGCCACGGCUAACUACGUG
rnacentral:rRNA from 1 species